UUGGUCAUCUGGGACAGACCAUGCUGUCUGAACUUGGUAAACCUCUUCAAAGGACAGAUUGAAAUUUUUUAUCUCCUCCCUGAUGGUUUUGCGAGAAGCAGCAUCACCAGCAGCACACAGGCCAUCAUCACUGAGUGGAUGUUGUUCAUCAUGAAGAUGUACUGCAAUCGAUCAUCUCUGUACAGUCUAGACCCAGCUUCAAGAUUUGCCUCCAGAACUGCAGUAACAGAUUGUAGAUUGAAAGCUGUUGCGGUGAAAUUAGGAUAUGGGUUUGCCAUCAGCUGA
rnacentral:misc_RNA from 1 species